rnacentral:rRNA from 1 species
CCUACGGGAGGCUGCAGUGGGGAAUAUUGGACAAUGGGGGGAACCCUGAUCCAGCCAUGCCGCGUGUGUGAAGAAGGCCCUCGGGUUGUAAAGCACUUUCAGUGAGGAAGAACGCCUGGUGGUUAAUACCCAUCAGGAAAGACAUCACUCACAGAAGAAGCACCGGCUAACUCCGUGCCAGCAGCCGCGGUAAUACGGAGGGUGCGAGCGUUAAUCGGAAUUACUGGGCGUAAAGCGCGCGUAGGUGGCUUGAUAAGCCGGUUGUGAAAGCCCCGGGCUCAACCUGGGAACGGCAUCCGGAACUGUCAAGCUAGAGGGCAGGAGAGGAAGGUAGAAUUCCCGGUGUAGCGGUGAAAUGCGUAGAGAUCGGGAGGAAUACCAGUGGCGAAGGCGGCCUUCUGGACUGACACUGACACUGAGGUGCGAAAGCGUGGGUAGCAAACAGGAUUAGAUACCCUUGUAGUC